rnacentral:misc_RNA from 1 species
AAAACCAGCAAUAUGGCCUUCAUAUAUCAAUCAAACAAAAAGAUUAGGAACAAAACCAACCUCAUUUAGAGGCGAGAGCAGAUAUAUAACAGAUGCACAAUCACGCUUGUGUAGGCAUAUGCACUAAGAAAAAUAGGAGCAUGGAUGUAAACAAAAUCAUUCUAGGUUACAAAAUGAUACAAACAGAAUCAGUGGAAUAAGCAUAAUUUCCCACCUUCAAAAUGUUAAAAUUUGUCGCAAAUAAAAGAUGACCCAUAUGGUAAUCACAAUCUGUAAA